ACAGCUCUGAUAUAAAACCUUUUUCUCUCUCUUAGUACUGAUAUGAUGACAUGACAUUUGUUCUGUUUAUAUCUUCAUGUAUGUGUAAUGGACACACUAGAUCAUUAUGAUGAUGUCAUCAUUAUUGGACAGAACUUUCAAGGUGUAACGAAGGGAGAUCAGGAGGAGUAUGAUGAUGUGAAGAACGGCAAUGAAGAUGAGAGAAACCUGUUAGACUAUGAUGUGGGGGAUGAGUCAAAUAAAGAAGGAGGGGCAAUAUGACUCAAUGACCACACCCUCUGCCUCUGUUCAUGAAAUCAUAUUACAGUUACUGGAGCUGCUGAGAGCUUCUCAUUUUGCUAAUGCAUCAGUGCCUUAUGUUUUUAUGUUAUUUUAAAUAUUUUUGUAUGAAAAGUUAGAAAUUCAGUAUCAACAAAUUUUAAUAUUUGUAUUUUAGCAUUUGGUCUUUUAUUAUUAUUUUGAUAUCAAUGCUUUUCACCUAAUAAACAAAAGAUAUCAUUCCAACAUCAUGUCACAAAAAUACUUGAGUGGUUGGAGAAAAUAAGAAAAAUAUGCUAUAAAUGUUUAAGAAAGUAUUUUUAGGCACUACUGUACUGCAUUAUUUACCUAAAUGUAAUGAUAAAAAUAGAUUUACCACAUAAUAGAUUUUAUAAAGCUUCAUGUUUUUCCAUAAGCUUACUGUCAUAGCAUUAGUUCUGUACUGUCAUCUUGAAUUAACUUAAGAGUAUAAUUAAAUAUUUUAUUUACAAGAAAUAUUACUGUGAAAGAAAAAGGUACACAUCCUUGAGGUCAGAAAAAAAAACCCAACCCAAACUGCAGUUUAUUGUGUGAUUAUAGUCUGAUUUUAUGGAUGAUACUGAAUUAUUUGCACUGAGCUUCAUCUUUUGCAGCAACAGCUCCAUAUGCAGGUUAAGGUUGGGCUGACCCUUUUUGUUGGUUUUUCUUUUCAACAACUGAUAUGUUGCUGUUUUCUUCUCCUUGUAUUUCUUCCUCCUCUCGCUGAGCUUUGUCUUUCAAGAAUUCCUACACAGACACACAUAAUAAAACAUGCAUCAAUCAUUUGCCAAAGAUUUACAGGAUGAUUAAACUGUGUAUGUUUACAUGA